CCUACGGGGGGUUGCAGUGAGGAAUAUUGGUCAAUGGCCGGAAGGCUGAACCAGCCAAGUAGCGUGAAGGAUGACUGCCCUAUGGGUUGUAAACUUCUUUUAUAAAGGAAUAAAACGAGGCACGUGUGCCUUUUUGCAUGUACUUUAUGAAUAAGGAUCGGCUAACUCCGUGCCAGCAGCCGCGGUAAUACGGAGGAUCCGAGCGUUAUCCGGAUUUAUUGGGUUUAAAGGGAGCGUAGAUGGGUUGUUAAGUCAGUUGUGAAAGUUUGCGGCUCAACCGUAAAAUUGCAAUUGAUACUGGCAGUCUUGAGUACAGUUGAGGUAGGCGGAAUUCGUGGUGUAGCGGUGAAAUGCUUAGAUAUCACGAAGAACCCCGAUUGCGAAGGCAGUUUACUAAACUGUGACUGACAUUGAUGCUCGAAAGUGUGGGUAUCAAACAGGAUUAGAUACCCCUGUAGUC
rnacentral:rRNA from 1 species